rnacentral:misc_RNA from 1 species
GGCGUCGCCUCCCUCGCCUCACGCACAUCACCUCUUCCUCCUAGGCACUCGCCUCUUGAAAGCAAGGCAAGGCAGUGCGAAGUGAGGCGCUAGAGGGUCGCCUCGCCCUGCCUAUCGCCUCGGAGUGCCUUUAACAACACUGUGGAGGAGCUUGUUUUAAACAAAACAAAAGUGUUGUUUGUGCUGAUUAGAGAUACUGGAGUUUUAUUUUUCUUAAAUUGAUUGCAUUAUGAGAUGCGUCUGUUUAUUAAUUUCCUGGCUGUUGAAGCUUGUUUUGGUUGGAUCUAAGAAAAUAGGUCUAUAGCAGUAUAGUCAAGAUUUUUGAAUGUGUCUUGGUUGCAGUUAAACAAUCUAACAACAUAUUGAGAUGCACCUAUUCAUUUAUUACUGGCAUAGUGAUCAUGUUAUUAUUUUAUGUUGCUAUGAUUAUUGGUAUGUGGCCUCCUCCAGUUGGUUGCUUAAGAUGAUAAACCUUAGAACAAGUUAGUCCAACCCUUGAUUUGACUGUAUCACUUUUUUAAAAACAGAAUGUUGUUUUUUAAUGAUUUCUCUAUUAUUGGAGAGUGGAAAUGGUUUGUUCAUGCACUUCCAUCUCCAGCAUCUUCUUCUUUUUUCUUUUUUUUAAUCUGUGAAUUGUUUUCCCCCUUCCAUUUGAAAUAAAAUGCUGUUCUUGUGAAAUUUACCUUCAUUGUUUGAAAUUGCUAUGACCUCUCUCUCUCUCUCUCAAUUUCCAGCUUCUUAACCAGGAAUUUGGGUUCUUUGAAAUUUUUAUAGCUUCAUAGGGAGAUUUGUCUCCAUUUAUUUUUUGGGGCAGUGGUGGAUGUAAAAGAGGUUAAAUUAGUUAUUCAUUGUGUUGAUUUGGUCUUCAUGAUGAUAAUUGACUUUGAUGGUAGUGACAUACAUAAUGGCUACAAAUUACGAUAUUUCUCACAUCUUACAUUUUCUGUUGGUAAUUAUUCCUCUAUUUCUUUUAGGAAAUGGAUCUCUUAAAAAAUCGUAAAAGAAGAUACUUGCUGAAAACUCAGUAGCUGUUUUACUGCUUUCUGUGUCACCUACAUUGUUUGAUAAGUUUAUUGCCCUCCUCUUUAA